UCCGGAGUAGCUCAGCGGUAGAGCACGCGGCUGUUAACCGCUAGGUCGGGGGUUCGAAUCCCUCCUCCGGAGCCA
rnacentral:tRNA from 2 species